CUCCUAAGGAUGUUUGUUUGAAGUGGAUGGAUUAAACAGUUUUACUGAAUUAUCCAUUCAGUGCAAAAAGCCCUGCGUGAACCAAGAGAUUCGCAGCCUGCUGAGGGACAGAUCAGUGGUGUCCAGUUCCAAGUAAAAUACAGAAGUUUCAGGUUGACAGCUGGCUGACGUUAUUUUUGGUUUGCUGCUGGCGGCAAAUUUAAGUUUGGCGUUUUUCAUAAAUACAAGAAGGACUCAAAUAGACGUUGAGUAUUUUACUUAAAAGUAAC